rnacentral:rRNA from 1 species
AGUGAACGCUGGCGGUAGGCCUAACACAUGCAAGUCGAACGGCAGCACAGUAAGAGCUUGCUCUUACGGGUGGCGAGUGGCGGACGGGUGAGGAAUACAUCGGAAUCUACUUUUUCGUGGGGGAUAACGUAGGGAAACUUACGCUAAUACCGCAUACGACCUACGGGUGAAAGCAGGGGAUCUUCGGACCUUGCGCGAUUGAAUGAGCCGAUGUCGGAUUAGCUAGUUGGCGGGGUAAAGGCCCACCAAGGCGACGAUCCGUAGCUGGUCUGAGAGGAUGGUCAGCCACACUGGAACUGAGACACGGUCCAGACUCCUACGGGAGGCAGCAGUGGGGAAUAUUGGGCAAAGGGCGCAAGCCUGAUCCAGCCAUACCGCGUGGGUGAAGAAGGCCUUCGGGUUGUAAAGCCCUUUUGUUGGGAAAGAAAAGCAGCAGGUUAAUACCCCGCUGUUCUGACGGUACCCAAAGAAUAAGCACCGGCUAACUUCGUG